UACGGAGGGUGCAAGCGUUACUCGGAAUCACUGGGCGUAAAGGGUGCGUAGGCGAUUUAUUAAGUCAGAUGUGAAAUCCUAUAGCUUAACUAUAGAAGUGCAUUUGAAACUGAUAAAAUAGAGUUCAGGAGAGGCAAGUGGAAUUAGUGGUGUAGGGGUAAAAUCCGUAGAUAUCACUAGGAAUACCUAAAGCGAAGGCGACUUGCUGGAAUGAUACUGACGCUGAGGCACGAAAGCGUGGGGAGCAAACAGG
rnacentral:rRNA from 1 species